UGCUCGAUGGGAAGGGGGGAUGGGAGGAAUUUGCAGAGGAAAUAGUUAUUAAUUCUCACAAAUUAGCAAUUGUUUAGUUACCCUAUCGAAAAGGAAGUCUGAUUUCCCCCUGGGUUAAGAGUGUUCCUAUUGUGAUCCAACGUCCCAUAAGUCUAAUUAUGUUUGACGUAACCUGCCCAUUAGAGGCUGUUGAAGUUGUAUUGACAUUGAAUGAGUGGCCCGAGUAGGGGGAAGGAUUAAGGACGGGGUGGUGUAAUAAAGUAACAAAUAUAGUUAUUAGAGAAAGUAAGCGGUAUUUAGGAACCUGGCUAACCUGGACUUUGACUCCGAUUAUAAAGUUGAACCGGGCACAAUUUAAAUAUACCCGAUUGAUAUAU